UGUGUCAAGCUGGAAAUGUGCUCCGCA
rnacentral:piRNA from 1 species